rnacentral:rRNA from 1 species
UUCCGGUUGAUCCUGCCGGACCUGACUGCUAUCGGAGCGAGAUUAAGCCAUGCAAGUCGAACGUUCUUCAACUGCGGAGAGCGUGGCGUACUGCUCAGUAACACGUUGCCAACCUACCUUCGGGACACGGAUAACCCCGGGAAACUGGGACUAAUCCGCGAUAGAUCAGGAUGCCUGGAAUGGCUUUUGAUUGAAAAGGGUGGGCGAGUUUGUUUCGCUCAUUUGCCCGAGGAUGGGGCUGCGGCCGAUCAGGUUGUUGGUGGGGUAAUGGCCCACCAAGCCUGUAACCGGUACGGGCUUUGAGAGAAGUAGCCCGGAGAUGGACACUGGGACAAGGGUCCAGGCCCUACGGGGCGCAGCAGGCGCGAAACCUUCGCAAUGCGCGAAAGCGCGACGAGGUUACUCUGAGUGCCACCUGCUGAAGGUGGCUUUUCUUAGGCGCAAAUAACUAGGGAAUGAGGGGGAGGGCAAGCCUGGUGUCAGCCGCCGCGGUAAUACCAGCUCCCCGAGUGGUCAGGGUGUUUAUUGGGCCUAAAGCAUCCAUAGCCGGCUCUGUAGGUCCUCUGUUAAAUCCAACGGCUCAACCGUUGGGCUGCAGGGGAUACCGCAGGGCUAGGAGGCGGGAGAGGCGGACGGUAUUCCAUGGGUAGGGGCAAAAUCCUCUGAUCCACGGAGGACCACCAGUGGCGAAGGCGGUCCGCCAGAACGCGCUCGACGGUGAGGGAUGAAAGCUGGGGGAGCAAACCGGAUUAGAUACCCGGGUAGUCCCAGCUGUAAACGAUGCGAGCUAGGUGAUGGAGUGGCUGAGGGCCAUUCCAGUGCCGCAGGAGCCGUAAGCUCGCGCCUGGGGAGUACAGUCGCAGACCGAACUUAAGAUGCGGGGGAGCACACAGGGUGAGGCUGCGUCAUGACUCACGCGG